GGAGAGGUGACCGAGUUGGUCGAAGGUGCACGCCUGGAAAGCGUGUGUGCCCGCGUGGUACCCUGGGUUCGAAUCCCAGCCUCUCCG
rnacentral:tRNA from 1 species